rnacentral:ncRNA from 2 species
CUCAUAUGAACUAGUAUAGGUCAUCCAGUGUUUUGGAUGAUAAUAGGGAAGUUGGUGUAAUUCCAACACGGUCCCGCCACUGUAAAUGCGGAUACACUUCGAACACCACUGUCGAAUAGAUGGGAAGGUGAAGUGAAUGAUGAAGCGCAUGAGUCAGGAGACCUGCCUAUACGUUGGUGUGAAA